rnacentral:lncRNA from 1 species
GGAACUGCAUAUGUAUAAAGGUGGAUUAAAAAAUCCAAGCUGCAAUGUCGACAUAAGAAAUAUACAACAGGAGUUCAAACCACAUAAUUGUCAUACAUCCAUAACAUUGAAACAUGUCCCAUAAAGCAAUGAAUGCUUAUCAAAACACAGUUGAAGUAGGUUAUAUUGUGAAAUAACAGUAAAUAUAGAGCAUAUAGAAUGUGUUAAGUAUCCUAGUUGGUGGAGUUCCUUUGACAGCAUUGGUUUGAAUGUAAGAAAUAGAUAAGCUUUGGCUUUAAUCAUAGGAAGAAAGAUAACAUGGACAGAUGUGGAAGGACGAGCACAUGGGAGCAUUAGGGAUCAUGCAUGUUGGGACACGGUCACCUUUAUAGGCAUGCAAUUUCAAAUAGCAAAAAGAGUAAGUGAAAAUGCAAUUAUGAAUUACUGUGUGACAAACUUACUUAUGGAGUCGUCAUCACUGAUGCUUGAUAGUACUCGCAAGAAGUCAUGUCCAGCAAUAAGAGUUUCCGCCAAAUAUGGAUUGUACUGAAACUGUUAUGACAUGGGCAAUUGUUAACUGAUAAGCUAUUUGUUACAUUAGCAUACAGUUAAAUGCUUGUCAGAUUAGCAUACAGUCAAUGAAACAUAUGUACAACGAGCUGUAAACAUGUAACAUUUCCCAUGUAUCACCAUCUAAAUGCUUGCACUUAACUUCAUUUUAUUACUUGCUGCAAUUUCACUUUUCCUGUUUGUACUUUCCACACAUGUUCAUCGUACAACUUACUAACUUCCCCUUUCCUGUUGAAUUGCCAGACAUACAUUCAAUUUUUAUUACAUUAACUUAAAAACAUACAAAACAUCUAAACUAAUUAGUCCCAUUGUUAUUAUACAAGCACAAGAAAUUAUGAUAUCAUUUUCAAAAAUUCUGUGUGAUUCACAUCUGACUUGUCACUUCGUAGAUGCUUCUACAAAGUUGCAGCUGAAGGCAUAGUCAGCCAGAAGAUAAAGAAAAGGAAAUAUGGCAGACACUUCUCCAAAGUUGCAGCCGAAGGCAUAGUCAGCCUGAAGAUAAAAGAAACGGAAAUAUGGCAAACACACAGAGCAAACCACAAGUUUCUCAUCAAUCAUACAGCUUUAAAUGGGUCAUGUUCAGCUGCUAGAGUAUAAUCCCUAAAUCAUUUUCAAUAUUUUUUUUCCCCUUUACUCCACUAUUUUCUACUUCUCUAUAGGAAAUCUGACUUCCCACCACAUUAUUCGCAGCAACAAUAUUGAACUCAAUUAUUUCAGGUUCAGCUGCCACUAGGUUGAAUUUCUGUUGGCGAAAUCCCUCUCUCUUACAAUUUCAAUACACGUGUUUAUUAACAUAAAAAUAAUAGUAAAAAACUCCUUUAUAUUACCACAUUAUUCAUAAAAUUUCCAGAAAUUUAAUUUAAAAAUUUACGCCCUGCACUCUCAUAUCUUGCCAUUAUCCAUAUGAAAUCUAAUUUCACACCAAUGAAAUCUAAUUUCGCACCAACUAUAUUAUCAGCUACAAAUGAUUCACGUUACAAAUCUCACAUUAAAAUUUCACUAACCUUAAUGAUGGUUUACACAAUCCUUUCCAUUUCUUCAAUACGACCACAACAAAUCCACAAGUCACCACAAUCGUCUUCGAAAAUUUAAUCCGGCGUCGCUACUGCAGCUGUAGUCACACACAAUUAUGAAACUGGUGGUUGCUUUAGGGAAAUCGCUCACGUCAGGCCAAAUACGGUUAAGGAUUUGCAGAACCCUAAAACUAAUCUUGUACCUCAAAUGGGUUUGGGCAAUUGCCCGCUUCACAUCAUUGUUCGUGACUAAAAUCGCAACCGUUGGAUAACACUCUUUAUAAUCUAACGG